GGGAAGGUGGCUCAGUGGUAGAGUGCUUGCCUUGCAUGCAAGAGGCCCUGGUUUCGAUUCCUCAGUACCA
rfam:Dipodomys ordii contig_22495, whole genome shotgun sequence.